rnacentral:rRNA from 1 species
GGGUUGUGAGGUUAAGCGACUAAGCGUACACGGUGGAUGCCCUGGCAGUCAGAGGCGAUGAAGGACGUGCUAAUCUGCGAAAAGCGCCGGCGAGGUGAUAUGAACCUUUGACCCGGCGAUGUCCGAAUGGGGAAACCCAGUGCAAUCCGUUGCACUAUCGU